rnacentral:rRNA from 1 species
UACGAAGGGGGCUAGCGUUGCUCGGAAUCACUGGGCGUAAAGGGUGCGUAGGCGGGUCUUUAAGUCAGGGGUGAAAUCCUGGAGCUCAACUCCAGAACUGCCUUUGAUACUGAAGAUCUUGAGUUCGGGAGAGGUGAGUGGAACUGCGAGUGUAGAGGUGAAAUUCGUAGAUAUCUGGAGGAACACCGGUGGCGAAGGCGGCAUCCUGGACCGACACUGACGCUGAUGAGCGAAAGCCAGGGGAGCAAACGGG